UACGAACCGUGCGAACGUUGUUCGGAAUCACUGGGCUUAAAGGGCGCGUAGGCGGGCUGUCCAGUCUGGGGUGAAAUCCCGCGGCUCAACCGUGGAACUGCCUCAGAUACUGACGGCCUCGAGGGAGAUAGGGGCAUGCGGAACUGUAGGUGGAGCGGUGAAAUGCGUUGAUAUCUACAGGAACUCCGGUGGCGAAGGCGGCGUGCUGGAUCUCUUCUGACGCUGAGGCGCGAAAGCUAGGGGAGCAAACGGG
rnacentral:rRNA from 1 species